rnacentral:lncRNA from 1 species
GGAAGGGAGGAUGUAGGAGUAACAUGUAAAACUGAGGCUAAAACCUGUUUAGUCCCAAAUCCUGACAAAUAGCUGGUAAACAAGUAUUUAAAUGAGAGCUUGGACUUUGUUUUCUCCCUCUGGAAACCUGGGAAGGCCUUGGUCUCAUUGCCAGCUCCAGUAUCCCUUCCAUCUCCUCUUAUCCUGCAUCUCCAGCGCUCCUCUUUUUUUUUGCCUGCAUUUCUUACAUGUCCCAUUUCUCCUUCUGCUCCAGUGGAUGUGAAGACCACUCUGAGCUGGGAAGAGCCGUGUUUUCUUCCAGCAGGUUUUCCACAGAGCCUCACGGGUGUUUCUCUCUCUCUCUCUCUCUCUCUCCCCCUGUCCUUGCUGCUGCAGAGCUCUGGAAUGCUGUGAAGACUCCCUGCCCAGGCACACUCCUCUCCGGAUUAUCUCCAUCCCAAGGAAGCUCGUAUCCAAGAGUGCCUGGCAUGAUGAGACCUGAGCAGGUCAAGCCCUUUGAGCAUAUAUAAAUAUGUGUGUAUGUAUAUACACACACAUAGGUAAGAGAAUUUAAUAUGUUCUAAGAGUGGGAGAGCAUGAUCUUCAGGAGCUGUGAAACAGGAACAAACCCUCUCAGGAAAUCCCUCUGGGAAGUAUGCUGGGAAAAUGUCCCUGUGUGCCUGCCCUUCAAUUUUCCCUCAGGGAUUCACACUUCCCUGUUGGGCAGACAAGACACAGGGGUGGCUGAGGUUUCUGUCUGACCCAUCCAGCUGUUCUUGUGCAGAAAUAUGGAAAAACAGGGUUGGCUCUAUGUUUUUUUUCAUUUUAUAUGUUUUGCUGCUCACUUAAUGACAUGAACUUUAAAUGUCAGCUGCUCCUGGGUCUGCUGCACUGCAUUGGGAUCAAACCUUUGGGCACACUCUGACCCUUAUCCUUAAAAUAAUUUAGCACUGCAGCCCUGCUUUGGGAAAAACUGCCCUUAAAUCAAUACCUUCUCUUUGGAUACAGACAAAAUCUGGGUGUUUCUUCCUCUACCGCCACCCCAACUUGGGUGGGAUGGGACAGAAAAUGCCAAGGAUUUCAGAAAAGCUUUUCCUUGCUUGUGCCAGCCUUGAGGCAACAACAAUAAUCCCCUCUCCAUCUUCUGCUUCCCCUUUUUCCCCUCUUCACGCUACAAAAAAUGAUAAAUUAAAAAAAAAAAAAGGGACUCUGAUGCUGCUCCCGUCCCUUUUUUCUGUAUGGUUUCCCCUGUUUGGGCUGUGCAGCUUUUUGGGGGUCUGAGAAGCAGAAAUCCAGAGCUGUGGAAGGGGAGAGGCAAAACCAAGGGUGGGUUUGAUGGGUGGUGAGGUGGGAGAAGGGACACAAAGACUAGAACUGAUGGGAGAUCCAGAGAACAAGAUCGUGUUUCAGGUGAGAAUAUGUCAAUUGUUGGUUUUGCAUAAGAAAACUCCUGCUCCAAGGACUCCUGGUCCAAUCCAGCUCCAGAUUAAGAAAUUUUAAGCUCAAGAGUGGAAUUGAUGGAGCCUGUGG